GCGAUCACAGAAGUUAAGCAACGUCAAGCUUGAGCAGUACCUGGAUGGGUGACCGCUUGGGAGUACCAGGUGCCGUAA